AUGGCUUGGCAGUACCUUCUCCUUUCCUCCUUUCACUUACCACUGACUCCUCCCCCAAGCCCAACCCAGACACCCACACUCAUCCUCCUCCUCCUGGCUGCCACCCUCAGGUGCCAAGAGCAGGAGCAAGCGCAGGCCACCAACUGGAGGGCCAUACUGAAGACCAUUGCAAUGGCAUCCAUAGGAUAGACACGUACCUGAACUCUGCCUUGGAACUGCUGGGGGGUAGGGGAGUGAGGAUGGGCUCUGCCAGUACAAAUGCAAUGAUGGAUCAAAGCCUUUUCCAUGCUAUGGAUAUAAACCCUCCCCACCAAAUGGAUAUGGCUCUCCAUUGUUUGGUGUUCAUCUUAACAUUGGCAUCCCUUCCCUGACAAAGUGCUGCAACAGACACGACAGGUGCAAUGAGACUUGUGGCAAAAACAAGAAUGACUGUGACAAAGAGUUCCAGUAUUGCCUCUGCAAGAUCUGCCGGGAUGUGCAGAAAACACUAGGACUAGGGCAGCAUGUUCAGGAAUGUGAAACAGCCAUGGAGCUCUUGUUUGACAGUGUUGUACAUUUAGGAUGUAAACCAUACCUGGACAGCCAAUGAGAUGCGUGUAGGUGUCUUUAUGAAGAAAAACUGAUCUUUAGAUAA